AGAGUUUGAUCCUGGCUCAGGAUGAACGCUAGCUACAGGCUUAACACAUGCAAGUCGAGGGGAAACGACAUCGAAAGCUUGCUUUUGAUGGGCGUCGACCGGCGCACGGGUGAGUAACGCGUAUCCAACCUGCCCAUCACUUGGGGAUAACCUUGCGAAAGUAAGACUAAUACCCAAUGAUAUCUCUAGAAGGCAUCUGAAAGAGAUUAAAGAUUUAUCGGUGAUGGAUGGGGAUGCGUCUGAUUAGCUUGUUGGCGGGGUAACGGCCACCAAAGCAACGAUCGAGUAGGGGUUCUGAGACGGAAGUCCCCGACAUUGGAACUGAGACACGGUCCAAACUCCUACGGGAGCA
rnacentral:rRNA from 1 species